AUUGAACGCUGGCGGCAGGCCUAACACAUGCAAGUCGAGCGAGCGGCGGACGGGUGAGUCCUGUCUGGGCAACUGCCUGAUUGCGGGGUAUAACUACUGGACACGGUAUCUAAUACCGCAUCCCAUCAGAUGUGGCCAGAUGGGCUUAGCUAGUAGGUGGGGUAACGGCUCACCUAGGCGACGAUCCCUAGCUGGUCUGAGAGGAUGACCAGCCACCCUGGAACUGAGACACGGUCCAGACUCCUACGGGAGGCAGCAGUGGGGAAUAUUGCACAAUGGGCGCAAGCCUUAUGCAGCCAUGCCGCGUGUGUGAAGAAGGCCUUCGGGUUGUAAAGCACUUUCAGCGGGGAGGCGUUACCCGCAGAAGAAGCACCGGCUAACUCCGUGCCAGCAGCCGCGGUAAUUC
rnacentral:rRNA from 1 species